GUCGCUGGGUAGGCGGAGCUGAAAAGGAGAGGAAGAUGGCGGAGUGAGGAGCUGCGGCUCCCGCUGCGGCCGCGGCUGCGGCUGCCCGGAACCCGCGGUGGCUGGGGCUGGCCAUUCCUGGUCAGCGGCCGGCUAGUCUUGACAGCUCAGGUUCCUUAUCCUAGACAGAGCAAUUUUCCUACAGUGUUUAUGAUGUCCUCAUCUUGAAAGGAAAACAGAAUCCAGAGCUCAGGAUUUAGUAGGUUCUUUAGAAGAAAAAAGACUUUGAUUUGAAUCAUUCUAUCCUUCACUAUUUUCUCAGGUGGUCCUGCGUCUUUUGUGUAACUGCAGUCCUUGGUCUUGACAUGUGGACCUAUCUCCUCUCUACUUUAACUCCAUGGACCAGAAUGGAAAAAUUUUCUUCGCUUCGUGUUCCAGUUCUCAAAUCCAGCACAUUUAACUUGUUAGGUGGCUUCCCCCAAGGUGCCAUCUGGCUGGCAUCAUGUCAAUUCUUCCAGGAAAAAAGAAGCAAUUGAUGUUGGCAUUCAGCAGCUAUUUGCUUAGAUGAGAAAAGGGAUUUUUUUUCAAAUAGAAGCAUAAUAUUUAAAUUGGUGCCAGGUGCUUAGAUGGUGGCAUUUGUGAGUUCUUUGCCCUUUAUGUUUUACAAGAGUACACAGUAAGAAGUCAAAAUGUCUGCAGGGGCCACUUGUAUCCUGUUUGAACUAGCAUAAAAUUACACAAUAUGCAUAAUUACAACAAGAAAUCUUGCAUUUCAAUAUGGAAAGUACAUUUAAGAAACUUAAAAAUAAUAUAUCCGAAUCCUAAUUAAUUCCAUUACAUAGAUUUCUCAAUCCAGAACAAAGGGCCAACUUUGUAGAUACUCAUGUGAUGUGGUAAGUAAAGCAGCUUAUGUAUGGUAUGUCCCUGGAUUUUUUAUGUGUAUAAAGAAAACAUGGUCUUUGAACAAAGAUGUUCUGCAUGGGUAUAUCUACAUUUAUCAGUGAGAAGAAAGAUUUCUUCCAAGACGGUAACAUUUACCUGGCCGGUAACAUUUGGUUGCUUCAUACCAUUUUAAGAUGUUUUUCCAUUUUCACAAGAAAGGAGCAGGUUGUACAGAAGCAGAAACCAUGAAUACAUUCUUGGGUCCAUUGGAACACAGUUUUCAUUGACUUCUGACUAAGCAGAGAACAAAAAGUUUUGAUCUUACCAAAAAUGGGGGCUCUCUUGUGGAUAUAUAUGGCUUGCUGUCAUCUUUCUUCCUUGUGGAGUGUUAUGGGACAUUCUGGAGUUGGAUUUUCAUACUGCUGUGGGCAAGAGUGAACUGGAACAAGGGGUCUGCCAACGUAUGCUCAAAAUACCAGGUCAAACUUGUAGCUAACUAUGAAUAUAGCAGAAUGGAAAAGGAGUGGCAGUAGGGAAGCAAGUGUUUUUUCCCAUACAACUUCAACUUGAGAGGCAAAAAGCAGAAAUAUUUUGUGUGGCUCCAUCGGACAGAUGUAUUUGCGUGACAUUCUGUAUUUUCAUCCCUUGCAGCAUCAUGGGAACAUUAUCCUUCAAUUCAGGAUGGCUGUGAGAAUGAUUUCCGUGGUUGAAACUGAAGCAUCCCACCAGAGGGUGGGCCUCAAAAUAAGGCCCAUCAAACUUGGCUUGAAGCAGGGUGAAUUUAGGUCUAGAAGAAAUUUAGGGACUACAUUCCAUCCGACAUCUCGCCUCCCCCACCACCCCACCCCAAAAAAAACCUCCACAAAGUAGUUUCAUGUCUAGAUCAGGCAACAAAUAUGGAAUAGCUUGUUUUCCUUUGAGUAAGGUGGGAAAACCAACACUACCCUUGGCAGCUGAAAUCCUUCCUUGCUCCUGCACCUGAGAGAUGCACAGCAGAGUUAGGGGUGACCUGUUACUAGUACAGGAGAACAUCUGCCCUCUUUUAUUUUUUAUCUUAUAUGGCUGAAGAAAUCAGUGUAAAACUUGUCAGAUAUUAAGACCUUAUGUUGCAUCUUUGUGUUUCUGGGAAUGUGCACAUCCAGCACCCUGGUAUGAUGCUAGAGUGAAGAGCCUGGAAUCAGACUGUUCUGCUCGGGUAGAAUUUUGUUAAAGACAAGAAUUGCCCAAAUGGAAUAUUAUCCUCUGAUGAAAGUCUGAUUUUAUAAGGGCAAUAGUUGAGAUUUGCUAGUAGUAAAAGUACAGCAUUCUCAAAGUCUUUGUGCAGUUUUAAGCUUUAAUACCUUAAAACUCCACUAAGACUUGAGAUACUCUACAUAGGUAGUCAUGUCUUUUGAAAGUUGUAUGUGUAUAGUAGUUAGGAAUCUUUCUCUUCAGUACAGCAGACCUCCCAGUCAUUUGUUUAUUUUUUUCAUUUGUUGUUACUCUGUAAAGAUAAAGACCAGUGUUGUUGGGGAAACACCUUACUAAAGGGGUCAUACUUACUACAGGUGCCACCAAGAUGGGGAGAAAGGUUUUAAAUCUUUGUUUCUCUGCCAUUCCCUUUAAUGUCUUAUUAUUGGUAGCCUUUCUGGCAAGAUCAGCUGGCAGGUAGCAGGGCCAUCCUAUUUUCUUUACCUCUUCUGUCAAACUUGCAACAGAUCCACUCUGGUCCUUUGGGCAUCAGACCUACUAAUUUAGAUUCCUUAGAGUUCUCUGAAUUCAUAGCCAAUAAGUUCGCUGUAAAGUUUUCCUUAAAUAGAUUCCUGCCUUAUUUACAACUUUCACAAAAUCUCAUUAGAACUGAAAUUUGUGUUAUGAUCAGUUGUUUUAGCCUUAUACUCUCUUAAGACACCCUCUAUAUUUCUUUUCUGCCUGUCUUUCUGCAGUUUCCUUCCUGGCUGUAGUUUUAGGCAGCACCAUCUAUGGCCUAUUGCUAUACCUUCUCUUCUCCCAGUCCUCGUUGGUUGGAGAUUUUCCUUUUUGAAAAGUUAAAACAAACAAGGGAUAUGUGCAAUAAUUACAUAUAUACAUAUAUAUAUAUUUUAAUACUUGUGGACAAAAUAAUGUUACAAGUUGUUUGAGAACAACAAAAUCACCAAUGUCUUCCAUUUUGAUAAUAUGUAUAGUUUCAUAAGCAUUAAUGCUUUGUAGAGAAAUGUAGUGCCAUGUUAGGGGCCAGUGCAUGAGCCUAGUAGUAAUUUUAGAAUUCUUUAUAAUAAUAAUAACCAAUAGUGUAACAAAAAUAUGGAAAAUACAAAAAUUUCCUUUUUUCUUAAAGUUCUGAACCUGUAUCUUCUCCCUGGGGAAAACUGACAAACUAAAAGGGCUAGCUUAAAAAUAGAAUUCUUUUGGGUUAGAAGCCUUGAAGAAUAUGCUUGGGGAUAGUUUACCUUCAUAUAAUGUUGCAGUAUUCUAAACCUAAUGUGACUGUGUCCAGUCUUAACCACAAACUAAACUAUGGACAACCAUCCCCCAUCCCCACCCCCUCCAAGGUAAUGCUCUUGGAUUGUAUUUCUUAUAUGAAGUGGGAUUGUUCUUCUUAUGUCCUUGUACGGAUAUGUCUUGUAGCUUAAUCCUGUUUCAUUUCUGUAUGUAGACAGAACAGAACCACAGUAUAAUUCGUAUAUCUUAAUUGGGUACUCUUUGGAGCCUCCCAUGAAGUGCUCUGUUAACUCAAGGGUAGUAGACUGACACUUCCUGUCUGCAGGUCACUGUCUCUGGGCUGUGUCAGGAAGCCCUUGUAAAGGUUGAGUCAAAGUAUGUUUUAAGGCUGUCCCCACUUCUCAGUCCACUGUGGGGUUUGGUUUGGUUUUUAAACGUGGUUUUCUUGCUACUUCUCUUGCUUGAUCUGCAUUUUGAGAAUUGGAUGUAUAGGUAAAUAGAACCUCGACAGGUUGCCAUGUAGUGAGAAGUAAAAGAGAGCGUUUGCUUAUGUUUGCAGUAUGCAGUUUAAGGAUAUAUACCUUUCAGAUUUGUACGGCCCCUUUUCCCUGCCUUCCCGGAAGUAAACAGUUUUGUCACUCCUAGGAUAGUUCAUCUUUCUUUCGUAAAGCAAUUCCUGUCUGUAAAUGGCUUCCUUGAGAAAUUGGACAAGGUGGCUUUUCUGAAGUGAUUGGAGGGUCUGAGUACUCAGAUAAUCCAGGUUUUAUGAAACAUGGACUCUACAAACAGUAAAAAAUGUGAUCAUGUGCAACACUGCAUGAGCAAACAGCGCUGAGUAAGUAAGUAGGCCCGUUUGUAGCAAUUCUCUGGGGACCAGGUUCAGGUUCUCUUAGUCUACACUCAAGUAGUUAGGCCUUUGAUUCAAAUAGGAUAGUGCUUAGGAGAAUCCAUUUCUUAAAAAAAAAAAAUACCUCUGAAACAGGAAUGCAAAAUAGCACAGUAUGCAGGGGGAAUGCCCCUGAUGCAAACAAAGCCAUAAAAUGAUUUAAUAAUUUUAAAAGGAUAAAACUAGUAGCAAUAACUGUUUUGCAUGUAAUAGUAACUAACUUGAAUUAGCAAACCUGUAUAGUAAAGUAAGUUACCACUCAAGCUUGUGGUGGGGUGUGGUGCUCAGUCCUUGACAGAGCUGCAUGAAAGUAAACAUAUUUUAGGUAGCUGAUAUAUAUAAAAGAUGCUCUUUUCCUUUGAGAAGGAGGAGGGGGUGGGUGGGAGGGUGGGGGGUGUGUGCGUGUGCGUGUGUGUGUGCAUGUGUGCGUGUGCGUGUGCGCGUGUGCGUGUGUGUGCGUGUGCGCGUGUGCGUGUGUUGGAGAGAGACAUUUUGAUAUGUGAGACUGAAAAUCCCAUUUGUUUCCCCAGGAAGGAACUGUUGAGUUGAACUCUCUGGAAGAUAAAUUGGAGUCUCACUAAGGCAUUCCAAGUAGGUUUUCUGCUUGAGACUUUACUUUGAGGAUAGCUCCUCCGUCACGGAGUUUUUUUUGCUUUCUCCUUGUUUCCUGAAUUCAUAUUUUUUUUUUUUUAGGAUUAAGAAAAAAGCUUAAAUUUAGUGUUUGCGUUUUCUGUAUUUGUGGUUAAGAAAGCUCUCAGUAACACUUGUGAGAAAGGUUUUAUGUAUGUGAAUUUCUUUUUUGUUUUUUACCAUAUUUUUAAUGGAAGAGUAGCCAGAGCCAUGGCUUCUGACAGCUUAUCCUCUAAUGUAGAAAACCACUCCACCUCCCAGCACACUGUCCCAGUUUUGGAGCCAAGACAGAAGUGAGGACCAAGAUAAUUUUUCUGUUGUCUCAUACCACCUGUCCGUGUGGACAAUUCAUUCUGGCCAUCUAGUGCCUGGAAAAUAACUAUAUCUCUGUAUAAGCUAGUUACAGUCUCCCUUGGUUCAUGAUGUUCAAUUAUAUGCCUAUAUGCGAAUGCAGGAGAAAAAAUGCAAGGUAGAUGGGAGAGAGCCAAGAAAGCUGUGCCUCUUGAAUAUAAUUUUCUUACUUGGUGAUCCCAAAAGAUAAGACUGUUUAUAAAAUAAAUAACCAUCCCUCAACUCACAAAAGGAAUGCACUACCUGGAUUCCUUUUGCUCUCUCUUUAGUGUGUACCCCAGUGUCACCAUUAGACACGUUGGAAUAGCCAAGAAGUUUUCAGGAUCUGGCUUGAUCACAGGUGUACGCUUAAUGCUAUAUAAAGGACUUUGUAGAACAGGCACAUUAAAUAUAGAUCUAAAUGCUAAAAUUGACCAGAUAUAUGCAGUGAAUGGAUGGGAUUCAGAUAAGCUUAUUACAUUCAAGGGUGUAGGCAUCCCCCUUUUCUUUAGGUUUCACGCUGAUGAGUGAGCUCUUAUUAAGUAUGAAGUGUGCACUUACAAUAUGCUAGGCACUAUGCAAAAUAGGGUCAGGUCUUUGCCUUCGAGGAGUUUACAUUCUCUUGGUGCUGCUGGUAAAGGCAAAUGGCCUCUAGUUUCUUUUAGAACAUGCUUGGCUGUUAGAAUAAUCUUGGCCAAAGGAUCACUUGUCACAACAGUUUUUAGGAGAGGGCUACACCAAAUUUUAAGGCAUCGAAGAUUUAACUUGUUUACAUUGUACUAGCUACGCUAUUAAUAAAUCUUUCCAGGGCAUGUGCGGGACAGGAGAGUAAGGAGUGAUGUGUAUGUAAUUUUCUUCAGUGUUAGUAAAAGAAACCACUUAAUAGAAUCUCCACAACAUACCACCUUCAUCUUUUCAUGGUAUCACAACCGUCACAAAGUUGACCGGAAAAUCCAUGAUAAGUAAGGCUGUAUAUUUCCUUUUCUUAAUAUGGUUCUUAUCUCUGCUACCUUAUCGUUCCCACCCUUAAGGGAGUAGAUUUGCAUACCAGUCACCCCUGUACCAGUGUGAAAUGAUCCUAAAUUUUACCUUUUUAUUUGCUAGCUUUGUUCUUCCAUUGAGAAGCAUCAUAGGGAUAGACCUUGAUUAAAACUGUCAUUUGCUUUUCCCAAAUGUUUCCAAGUUUUCUCUCAGUUGCAGUAUUUCAUUGAAAAUAAAUUGCAUGUACCCUAGCUAAGCCCCAUAAUCUCUCUGAAAUCCAGAGGUUUUGUUUUGCAUGAACAUGGAAAAAUGCAUGAAGACCAUACAAGCAACAGUGGCUCAAAGCCCACAAUCCCAGUCCUGUAGAGUUAGAGUCCUAAUUAUGCAUGAUUGAAAAUGUCUAGCGUCAUAUAAUUACUAGAAAACUGAUAUAUGCAUUUAUAUAUAACAAAGCAAUAGUAACUACUAAACUAAUGGCUUGAAUUUACUGCUUGAAACCUCAGUUCUUGUUUCUCUUAAAAAGAUGGCUUGCCUCCAUCAAUACAGGGAGGCUAGAGAAUAAACCAGGACAGCAGCAUGACACUUGGGCUGUUUGGAGGAGGGAGUAGCAGAACUCGCCUUUUGUUUUAACCUCUUACCUGGUUUAUGAGAGUCUCCUAAGCAUGUUUUUUUUUUUUAAUAACAGGGCAUGCACCAAGAAGCAUGUUGUGUCAAUGAAUGAUUUCUUAGUUGCCUCAAUUGUAGCAGUCAGAAAGGUGCAGAGUUUCAAAAGGAGUAAGAGGGUAAGGCCCAACUGUACUAUAGAAAGUAAUAACUGGGUCUAUUAAACAAGGCAAAAGUGGCCUGAGUGUAAGCCCAGUAAAACUAGUACUUUGGAGGUGAAUAAAAUCAAUAAGCACAGUGCACACAUUUCAGGUGUUAGUAGCUUUUUAGUGCAGUAUUUUUGGGUAAUUUUUGCCGCUUAAGGCAGCUGUACUGAAUUGUACUGGUGUCGACCAGCAAUAAUAUUGGCUCCCUGCAGCAAAGGAGACUUCCAUUUUGCAGGAGUUGACCUGAAAAUAUUGUUACAUCUGUGAUUUUGUUUCUCUUUAGUUGUUACAUUGAUGUAUUUUUGAAUUUAUGUGACUUGAAAUAGAUUUUUAGAGCCAGAGACACAAAAUUAUUUACCCUUAAUGGUCUGAUCCGUCAUUCCAAUUAAAUUCCAUAAAGAACUCUUGCCCCUCGAGGUGAAUUUAUACUUCUUAAUUUCAUUAAAUAGAUUGGCCACUAACUUCCUUAUUUAGGGAGAAAAAAAUUAGAUGUACUUCUAUUCACUGUAACAUUUCAGAAUGUUGGGGAAUAAAAGAUUUUUGUGGGGCCUUUAGUGUAACCCCUAGAAGCAUAUGUGAUAAUAGCAAACAAGAUAAGAAUCAUCUACUACAAGCUAAAGAGGUGACAAUAAACUUAUAAUUUUUCCUACAAAGAUUUUCCCUCAAAUUAGCAUAACCUUACUUUAGGACUUAUCUUGAUAUUGCUGGGGAAACUUUAUCUUCCAAGAUACAGGAUAAAAGUAACCUUCAAAUGGCUCAGAAUUGAACCACUCAGUUCGUACUUAGCAAGUUUAUUCCCAAACCUCUUUAGUUUUUCUCUUAGCCAGUUAUUGAUAGAACAUCUGUGAAAUGAAGUUGGAAAAUUAAGUGUUUAUUGAUUUUGGCUUGAGAAUACAAUAACCCACCACCCUUCAUUAACCCACUGCUCUAAAAGGGAGUAGUAAAUACUGGUAUAUGGAACUCCUUUUAUCUUCAAAUUUGUCAAGAAACUCCAAAACUUUCAGAAUUAUUCUUGAAAAACAAGAGCUCAUAAACAGAAGGCCUUCCUUCUAAGUGAAACUUCCCUUGAAAACAAAGGCAUAUAUGUGCUGCGCCAUUGGUGAGAUGUUGGGUUGUUUUGUCUUUUCUAGUGGUGGGGAAAAGUAUCCAAAAUAAAACUAGAGCAGUGCACGGCAAUCUUCCUUCUUGAAGUAACUGCUUUUAAAUUGUUCAACUAUUCUGUGUAAAAUAAACAGUUUGGCAUUAGAUUAGAAAGACCCAAUACUGAAGAGCUCAUUUCACAUACUCUAGAUAUUAAAUUGUUGGCUUUCUUUAGUGCAGAAAAAAUUGUUUACUUAUUGUUUGCACAUGCAGCACUGUAAUCUUUCUACUCUAUUGCACAGUUGUAUUUUACAAGGUAAUAUUGUUAGGAUUUCUCAUUGUUAGAAUUUCAUACCUGAAAUUUUGGAAAAGGCAGCUUGCUGUUAUAUCUAUGCAUCUUUGGGGGUUUGAAGGACAGAUUUUAUUCUUCUGAUGGUAUAAAGUUGAACUGUUUUUAAAAACCUAAGUUGAAAACUCUGCAACUAUGUAUAAAACUUUUGGGGUUUGUUUUUUGGUUUUUAGCAAUAAAGCAGCAUGGGCCAAGAAUGCACUGAAA